AUCCUACGGGGGGCAGCAGUCGGGAAUAUUGCGCAAUGGAGGAAACUCUGAACCAGCCAUGCCGCGUGCAGGAAGACGGCUCUAUGAGUUGUAAACUGCUUUUGUACAAGGGUAAACCUGAAUACGUGUAUUCAGCUGAAAGUACUGUACGAAUAAGGAUCGGCUAACUCCGUGCCAGCAGCCGCGGUAAUACGGAGGAUCCAAGCGUUAUCCGGAUUUAUUGGGUUUAAAGGGUGCGUAGGCGGAUUGAUAAGUUAGAGGUGAAAUGUCCGAGCUCAACUCGGGAACUGCCUCUAAUACUGUUG
rnacentral:rRNA from 1 species